UACAGGGGGGGCAAGCGUUGUUCGGAAUUACUGGGCGUAAAGGGUUCGUAGGUGGCUUACUAAGUCAGACGUGAAAUCCCUCAGCUUAACUGGGGAACUGCGUCUGAUACUGGAAAGCUUGAGUGCAGGAGAGGAACGCGGAAUUCCAGGUGUAGCGGUGAAAUGCGUAGAUAUCUGGAGGAACACCGGUGGCGAAGGCGGCGUUCUGGACUGUCUCUGACACUGAAGAACGAAAGCCAGGGGAGCAAACGGG
rnacentral:rRNA from 1 species